GGGCCCGUAGCUCAUCUGGUUAGAGCGCGUGCAUGGCAUGCACGAGGUGAGGGGUUCGAUCCCCCUCGGGUCCA
rnacentral:tRNA from 1 species